UAGUAACGGCGAGUGAAGCGGGAAGAGCACAAAUUUUAAAUCUACCUGGUUUCCAGGUCGAGUUGUAAUUUGARGAUACGUUUUUGAYGUUCCGGGUUGGACUAAAUCCUUUGGGAUAAGGUAUCAURGAGGGUGAGAAUCCCGUAUAUACCAACCNNAGGGAUGUUAUUUAAUACGUUUCUAAGAGUCGAGUUGUUUGGGAAUGCAGCUCUAAAUGGGUGGUAAAUUUCACCUAAUGCUAAAUAUAAGCGAGAGACCGAUAGCGAACAAGUACAGUGAUGGAAAGAUGAAAAGAACUUUGAAAAGAGAGUUAAAUAGUACGUGAAAUUGUUGAAAGGGAAACGAUUGAAGUCAGUCAUGCCRGUGGGAAUCAACUUAGRGGAAACUCURRGUGCACUUCUUCGCUUGGCAGGUYARYGUCGAUUUUGGAUGUCAUAAAAUGAYUGGGGGAAGGUAGCUCCUUYGGGAGUGUUAUAGCCCUUGGUAGAUGUGAUGUCUGGGAUCGAGGAUUGCAAYGGAUACCCUUURGGGCUAGYCRCCUGAUCUCUAAUURGUAUURGRUUACGGAYAGCAUGCUGACCGUGAUYUAAUUAUUGGUUAAAAGGUUAGAGUGCACAUAAAUUC
rnacentral:rRNA from 1 species